rnacentral:lncRNA from 1 species
ACAAAGCUUUUGGAUGAAUGUAUUUUAUUGUACAUCACUAAAGAGUUAUUUCAAUAGAAAAUAUAACCUACUAGAUAUCUACUGGAAGACUUGUUUGAUGAGAGUCAGUUAUAGUUUCAUGAAUAUUUCUUUGGGCAGGAGUUUUGUUUAUCUGACUAUGUGUUUAUAUAUAUCCUCAUUUUUUUCCAAAAAUAAUUUGGAAAUGAUAAAGUAAUCUUGGAAAUGAUCUCCAACUUUUUCAUUUUACAGCAGGAAAUAUCCAAAGCAAGGAAAUGAUUCUCUUGAAUCCAGUUUGGCUACUCUUGAAUGACAACAUAAAAGUGUGCAUCGGGCACAGCACUUCUGAUAUCCUGGACUGAGUUUGAUUUUACUAAUAUCAUGGUUGGCUAAGGAGAGAAUCAGGACGGGGAUCUAGGACCUUUAUGCUUCUAGUUUAAUCUCCUUGUUUCUUUAUCUAAAUACAACAGUGACAAAGCCAAACCAAAUACAAGAAAAAUAUAACUGCUUUUGGGAUCUCAGAAAUAAAUUGUAUUCACUGUCUAACAAAACUAUAUUCCUUUUGAGCUAAGAAUCACAUUUCAUUUUUCACUGUUCUAUAAAAAUCUAUUACUACCUCCAGUAAUCAUCAGCUUUAAAUUAUUCUGGAAGACAAAUUGUGGUUUUACUGCUUGUGUUUAAACUUGCAAAAUGUAUGAACUCUAGGGUGCUCAUCUGUCUUCAGGAUCAAUGGAUAUGCUCUGGAGUUGACUCAUUCUGCCCUCGGUUUGAGCCACAGGCAGACGUGAAAUUGUAUGGAUUUAGAAGGACCUUUGUGUCUUUCUUCUUGACACCUGAAGAAAGGGCUACUCCCUUUGUGCCACAGUAGGUCAAAGAAAUUUGAUGAAUACAUGAAUAAACACUUGAAUAAAUGAAUCAAUAAUAAUGUUCCUCAAGCACUAGCAGUUACUAGGAAAAUUUACUCUAUUUGAUUUUCUUUCUUUUCAUUCUUUAUAACAGGCACAUAGCCAAAGGCAAAUUAAAGAAAAUAGGAUCACUGCUGUUGGAACAACAGAAGCCAAAACUGAAAACCUACAGAGUUUCCCAAGAUAUUGCUAUCAGAGGAGAUCAAAGAGUAGCAAGUGAAAAUCUAGGAAAAGAAUUCGCUCAGGCAAGAUGAGAUCUCUUAGUGCAUCACAUGAAAAUUGAGAAGUAAUGAAAGAGAGGCAGGUGCAAUGGCUCCGGCCUGUAAUCCCAGCUAUGGGAGAAUAUCCCUUAAGACCAGGAGUUCAAGAUAAGCUGGGGACAACAUAAGGAAAGCCUGUUUUAAAAAAGAAUUUUUUUUUUUUUUUUUUUUUUUAAAUUAAGCAGGCAU